AGCCCUCACUGCCCCUCUUUAUAGGCAGUCAAAGGAUUGAUCAGCCUCUGACACAGCUAAAACUUCAGAUCCCACCUAUUGCUGACUCUAUUCCCAAGAGGACAGGACUGCAGGAACAGGGAGGACUGCAGGAACAGGGAUUCUUGCAGAACCCAUUGUGAGAUUCUAAGCACUGAGGAAGUUAGUCCUGAGCCGACCAAACCCUCAACCUUGGAGAACUGGGAGAAGGCGAGGACCCCUCCUCAGAUGUUUGCAGUACACAAUGAUCACGUUCAUCGUGGGGAGCUGAUACAUCCCAUGGUUGACGUCUGAAACUGAAGGUACCUGAAAGAAGAUGAGGACCCCAAAACAGAAAAUCAUUUACCACAUCAGUCCAAGAAACAUGGGGUUGUUACCCCUGUCCAGAGAAUUCAGAGACCAUCAGACAUCACCAGUGUUGACUUCAGUGAACUGUUCUAGAAGUAACAAGAGUAAGACUCAGGCAUUGGCUCCACCAAUCAGAAGAGCACAUGGAAGACUGAAAGAUCUCCAAUUGGAGUGAAUGAAACAGGCACUGAGGGCUCCUCAACUGGCCACCGCAGAGACGGCAGAAGCAACUGGCUUUCAGUAGCAGCUGUGGUCUGGAGAUUGGAUUCCUGUUAGAGGCACAACCCUGGUGCCGGUAGCAACAGCAAUUGCAGCAACACUGAGUUCUUGACAUUCAGUUUAGUACAACCCGGACCUUCUAAGUACGUCGUGGCAACAGCUUCCCUAUUAAGCCAAUGUUGUGGUUAGUGUGGGCAGUGUACCUGCAGGUUUAGCCUCCAGCCAGUUGUCCAGCCUCCCAUAGUUCUGUGUUCCCUCUAAUAAACUUGUAAUAAACUUUCUUUUGCUUAAAAAUGAAUCCUAGUGCUUGCAAGUGUCACUAGCAAAAUAGACAAGCAGGAAUCAGAGAAUUAGACUGAAAAACAGCUUUUUUGUUCCCUACCCCAUUCCCUGUUCCAACAAUCCUAUAAGUCCCUAGAUGAAAGUCCUCUUAUACAAGUCCUUCAGUCCCCUUCAGUCACAAGAAUCAUCUCACUUUAGAAACUAAUUUUUCCAGCUCAAUAUAAUAAUCAAAAUUCUGGAAUCUAUUUUAAGUGAAAGCUUCUUUCCUCUCCAGCUUGAAUUGAUUUCACACAGAAGUAUUUAUCUGGGUAGUGGCCCAUUUCUCUCUCUUUGCCCGAUGAGGGUUUCUCUUCCCCUCUCACCAGGCC
rnacentral:lncRNA from 1 species